AAAAAAAAAAAAAUUGUGAGCUUCUCUUCGUUCUUCCGGUUAUGUAUGUUAUUGAAAAGAAAAGACGAAUGCCUGGAGAAAACAAAACACUACGAAUACGGAUAGUGAAAGAUGAGUUCUCAGCCAUUUCCUACAGCUGGAAUGCCUGCUCAGAGUAAUCCUGGUGGAAAGCCGGUCUCCAUCAAUCAGUCAUCCAAACAGCCAGCAGGACCAGGUGAGGACAGUAGUGGUGAUGUGAACCACCAUGGUCCCAAGGACCAUCCAGCCAGCAGCAGGGGAGGAGAAGAAGCCCUGUCGUUCAGAGAAGACAAGCAGGCGCCCGGAGUGGUCAGACCCUACCC